rnacentral:piRNA from 1 species
UGUCAUUGCGUGAACACAGCUGUAUAGCUAUU